UACGAAGGGGGCUAGCGUUGUUCGGAAUUACUGGGCGUAAAGCGUACGUAGGCGGAUUUGUAAGUAGGGGGUGAAAUCCCCAGGCUCAACCUGGGAACUGCCUUCUAGACUGCAAGUCUCGAGAUCAGGAGAGGCGAGUGGAAUUCCGAGUGUAGAGGUGAAAUUCGUAGAUAUUCGGAGGAACACCAGUGGCGAAGGCGACUCGCUGGACUGAUACUGACGCUGAGGUACGAAAGCGUGGGGAGCAAAC
rnacentral:rRNA from 1 species